CAGCAGCCGCGGUAAUACAGAGGGUGCGAGCGUUAAUCGGAUUUACUGGGCGUAAAGCGUGCGUAGGCGGCUAAUUGAGUCGGAUGUGAAAUCCCCGAGCUUAACUUGGGAAUUGCAUUCGAUACUGGUUAGCUAGAGUGUGGGAGAGGAUGGUAGAAUUCCAGGUGUAGCGGUGAAAUGCGUAGAGAUCUGGAGGAAUACCGAUGGCGAAGGCAGCCAUCUGGCCUAACACUGACGCUGAGGUACGAAAGCAUGGGGAGCAAACAGGAUUAGAUACCCCAGUAGUCCCUGUCUCUUAUAA
rnacentral:rRNA from 1 species